rnacentral:rRNA from 1 species
AUUGAACGCUGGCGGCAGGCUUAACACAUGCAAGUCGAGCGGAGCGAGGGUGCUUGCACCUUAGCUUAGCGGCGGACGGGUGAGUAAUGCUUAGGAAUCUGCCUAUUAGUGGGGGACAACAUUCCGAAAGGAAUGCUAAUACAGCAUACGCCCUAAGGGGGAAAGCAGGGGAUCUUCGGACCUUGCGCUAAUAGAUGAGCCUAAGUCGGAUUAGCUAGUUGGUGGGGUAAAGGCCUACCGAGGAGACGAUCUGUAGCGGGUCUGAGAGGAUGAUCCGCCACACUGGGACUGAGACACGGCCCAGACUCCUGCGGGAGGCAGCAGUGGGGAAGAUUUGACAAUGGGCGGAAGCCUGCUCCAGCCAUGCCGCGUGUGUGAAGAAGGCCUUUUGGUUGUACAGCACUUUAAGCGAGGAGGAGGCUCUUAAGGUUAAUACCCUUGAUGAGUGGACGUUACUCGCAGAAUAAGCACCGGCUAAUUCUGUGCCAGCCGCCGCCGUAAGAC